rnacentral:rRNA from 1 species
AUCUUCCGCAAUGGGCGAAAGCCUGACGGAGCAACGCCGCGGGAGUGAUGAAGGGGUUCGGCUCGUAAAACUCUGUUAUUAGGGAAGAACAAAUGUGUAAGUAACUGUGCACAUAUUGACGGUACCUACUCAGAAAGACACGGCUAACUACGUGCCAGCAGCCGCGGUAAUACGUAGGUGGCAAGCGUUAUCCGGAAGUAUUGGGCGUAAAGCGCGCGUAGGCGGUUUCUUAAGUCUGAUGUGAAAGCCCACGGGUCAACCGUGGAGGGUCAUUGGAAACUGGGAGACUUGAGUGCAGAAGAGGAAAGUGGAAUUCCAUGUGUAGCGGUGAAAUGCGCAGAGAUAUGGAGGAACACCAGUGGCGAAGGCGACUUUCUGGUCUGUAACUGACGCUGAUGUGCGAAAGCGUGGGGAUCAAACA